rnacentral:tRNA from 1 species
AAAGCUUUAAGUUAUAAUAAACUAUUAUCCUUCAAAGUUAAUAAUGCAUAACAUUUAUGCAAGCUUUA